UAUUGUAGAAGUUUAUCAGUACGAAAGGACAGUAAAUUUUUUUGUUGAAUACGAUUGUUGGUUGGUUUUGCAAAAGCUGAUUAGGGUUAUUAUUUGUGCCCCGUGUUUUGUUUGUUUAAUUGUGGCAAUAGGAAGUUUUGUUUCAUUGACUGCAUGAAGUGUGUUUAUGAUUUGUGGGUUAUGUUUUCUGGUUAUUUUAUCAGCAGUUGGUUUUUUGUUAAGAUGGGAAUCUUAUAAGGGUGAUACAAUUUAAGGGGAUAGGUCACAGUGCCAGCAUCUGCGGUUAAUCUGUUUUCUUUGCUUUUGUGUGGAUUAUGCGUAUUUAUUUAUGUGCAAUGUUAGGUUAAAUUUUUUUGUGACAGUGUGUGGUAAAUAGGUUUUGUUAUGAUAUAUAUGAUGACAGGGAUUAGAUACCCCAUUAAUGUAUUUUGUAAAGUUGUUCUAGUUUUGUAACUAAAAUGGUUUGGCAGUGAGCGAUUCUUAUUAGGGGAAUAUGCAUAGUGAAGGAUGGUCCACCUAUUAGUUUACUCUUUUUAUGUUGGUGUAUGUCUGGUUUGAUAUUAUUGUUGAAUAAUUUAAGUUUGUGUAGUUUUAGUUAAGCUAAGUCUAUGUGCUGCUUAUGGGAGUUUUUGUGUGUUACAUUAAUAAGGGUGUUAUUGUGAGAUGAUGUGAUUUAGGACUUUAAUAGUAAUGUUAAAUGAGUUUGUUGAUGUGAAGAGAGUUUAGCUCAGG
rnacentral:rRNA from 1 species